UACGUAGGGCGCAAGCGUUAUCCGGAAUUAUUCGGCGUAAAGAGCUCGUAGGCGGUUUGUCGCGUCUGCCGUGAAAGUCCGGGGCUCAACUCCGGAUCUGCGGUGGGUACGGGCAGACUAGAGUGCAGUAGGGGAGACUGGAAUUCCUGGUGUAGCGGUGAAAUGCGCAGAUAUCAGGAGGAACACCGAUGGCGAAGGCAGGUCUCUGGGCUGUAACUGACGCUGAGGAGCGAAAGCAUGGGGAGCGAACAGG
rnacentral:rRNA from 1 species